rnacentral:rRNA from 1 species
GUGCCUGCGGAAGGAUCAUUACAGAGUUCAUGCCCGAAAGGGUAGACCUCCCACCCUUGUGUAUUAUUACUUUGUUGCUUUGGCGAGCUGCCUUCGGGCCUUGUAUGCUCGCCAGAGAAUACCAAAACUCUUUUUAUUAAUGUCGUCUGAGUACUAUAUAAUAGUUAAAACUUUCAACAACGGAUCUCUUGGUUCUGGCAUCGAUGAAGAACGCAGCGAAAUGCGAUAAGUAAUGUGAAUUGCAGAAUUCAGUGAAUCAUCGAAUCUUUGAACGCACAUUGCGCCCCUUGGUAUUCCGGGGGGCAUGCCUGUUCGAGCGUCAUUUCAACCCUCAAGCUUAGCUUGGUAUUGAGUCUAUGUCAGUAAUGGCAGGCUCUAAAAUCAGUGGCGGCGCCGCUGGGUCCUGAACGUAGUAAUAUCUCUCGUUACAGGUUCUCGGUGUGCUUCUGCCAAAACCCAAAUUUUUCUAUGGUUGACCUCGGAUCAGGUAGGGAUACCCGCUGAACUUAAGC